GACGAACGCUGGCGGCGCGCUUAAUACAUGCAAGUCGAACGAAAAGAGCGAAAGAGCUUGCUCUUUCCGGAAUUGAGUGGCAAACGGGUGGGUAACAAGUAAACAACCAGCUUCCAGGAAGUGGGCAACAGGCGGAAAAGACUGCUAAUAAUGAACAAGAUCCAAGAGCCGCAUUGCCCAUGGUAGAAAACGAGGCCUCUGCCUGUAAGCUAGCGCCUGCGGAGGGGUUUGCGUCUGAUUAGCUGGUGGGCGGUGUAAGGGGCCACCGAGGCGAAGACCAGUAGCCGGUCGGCGGGGAUGAAGGGCGAACCGGGAACUGGGACACGGGCCACACUCCAACGGGAGGCAGCAGUGGGGAGUCUGCCGUAAUGGGCGAAAGCCUGACGGAGCAAGGAGGCGUGAGUGAUGACGGCCUUCGGGUUGUAGAUCGCUGUGUUCCGGGGAGAAAGGGGAAGGUGCGAGGUUCGAAGUGUAUUGACGGUACCGGAAAAGCAAGCCACGGCUAACUACGUG
rnacentral:rRNA from 1 species